GCCAGCCUCUUCAACGGCAAUUACCGAAGGGAAAAAAAAAACCUAAAAGAAUGAAUUCCCUGGGUGGUUUUGUUAGUUCUUCAUUAUUUUCUCUUUGAAAAUUAUUCUUCCAUACUUCAUCUUGAACUGCCUUUUUUUUUCAAUCUGAAUAGCCCUAUUGCUUCUGCUGAAUACAUGGACAUGACCACCCACACUUAGAAAAACCUUACCUCUUGCUGAGCUCCUCUGAAAUGGUAGGCAGCAGGGCUCAUGCAGCAAUAAAACUUCACGAUCACAGGGGAAGGAAAUAGCACAAGGCUAGGAAUCCUCCUGCUGUUUCCAUAUGAUUUCCUAAUUUCAAAAUAGGUUGAGAAAUAAUAGGGGGGAAAUAUAUUGUGAGAGUUUCCUCUGUGUUCUUCUGUAAUUUGCUGCCUGGCCUGUUGUAUGUGCGAGGAACUCUAUUAAGCUGCUACCCCAAAAGCAGCAGCUUGGUGUUCAGCCUAACAAACAAGAAAAGUUUAUUCUCCAGUGGUGCUAAAAGGAAGUUUUCCUCUUGAACCAAGGAAGUGGAAUCACAGUGGUCACUGCCUCUGGCUUUUGAUUUUUCCCUUCUCCCCAGAUGACAAUUAAGAUUGCUCAUCCUCAGUGCUCAGUUUUGGUCCAAUACUGGGGUGAGAUCCAGCUGUGCUGAUUUUGAUGCUUGUCCCCACAGAUGGUCAUAAUGGCCUGGAUUUUGGGAUGUAGACAUCUGGAGUUUUGUAGCCUUUGAACACCUCAGAAGAAGUGCUAAUGCACUACUUCACAGAAAACGUCCCAGAUACAAACUGGCCUGCUAAAACAACAGCUGGAGUCCCAUUGCUCUCUGAACGACUUUAUGUGAAGAGGCAUCAAUGUAUGGAUUAGCCUUCCCAGGAACAGGGAUCCAGCUCAGAGGAAGCACUGGUAAGUUAUUUCAGUAGAAGAAAAAUAACUACAUAUCAUACUGAGAAGAGAAAAAAGGAAUC
rnacentral:lncRNA from 1 species